UUUUUUUUUUUUUUUUUCCUUUUCUACUGCCAAGCAUUAGUCAUAACUUUAUAUCAUCCUUACCACCUACAAGGACAUAUUCCUAUGAUGACUUGGGGUUACUCUUGCUCCUGACCUUUAUGUUCCACUGGAAAUUUCAUCAAGCUGAAUUCAGUUUUUCCUUAGUCUAGAUCAUUAAAGUAGUCACAGAGAGCCAGGUCCUCUGGAUGAGUUAUAUAAUCCCAUAGGCACAUCAAUUCUGAGGAGUAUGCAAACUGGCUUUAGGCCAAGGAAAGGGCUUAUGUCUCCAUCUCCGCCUCUCUGACUCCCUCUCUCUCCCUCUCUCCUUUAUCUCCUCAUCAUCCUCCUUUUCUCAGGGAAAAGAUGGAGAGUAAAUUUCUUACCUGCUUCCCUUCUCUAGCCAUAUCCGUUCGAUUCCUGGCAUUUCAUAGUUCCAACACCACUAUACAUGCUUUCCUAAAAAUGUUCUUAACAUGCUAGCCCAAGGAAAUCAGGACUGAAGCCAAUCUCACAGCCAGUACACAUGAAGCUCAUGCAUCCUCUGGGGAAAACUUGUCAGGUGUAUUCCUUUGCUUGCUUUCCUCUAGUUGCAGCAAUUUGGGAUGAUAUGUAUAUUUGGAUGCUCCAUUGAAACAGAUCAUCUAUAAUUUAUGACAGCAUCCCUCUCCUGUAGCUGCACUUGCAUAUGAGGGUAUUAACAGAAAGAUAAUUUUGGCAGCUGCCAUUAUCCUUGGAGAAUUAGAGUUAGCAGAAACUAGACCUCUCUUUGGAGAAGGCAAUGGCACCCCACUCCAGUACUCUUGCCUGGAAAAUCCCAUGGACGGAGGAGCCUGGUAGGCUGCAGUCCAUGGGGUCGCUAAGAGUCGGACAUGACUGAGCGACUUCACUUUCACUUUUCACUUUCAUGCUUUGGGAAGGAAAUGGCAACCCACUCCAGUGUUCUUGCCUGGAGAAUCCUAGGGAUUCUUCCAGGGGGAGCCUGGUGGGCUGCCAUCUAUGGGGUCUCACAGAGUCGGACACAACUGAAGUAACUUAGCAGCAGCAGCAGACCUCUCUUUAACGCAGCCAGCUUCAAUAAAAAGGGAAACAUAGGACAAAGACUAUGAAGCUGAAACUCCAAUACUUUGGCCACCUGAUGCAAAGAACUGACUCAUUGGAAAAGACCCUGAUGAUGGGAAAGAUUGAAGGCGGGAGAAGAAGGGGACGACAGAAGAUGAGAUGGACGGAUGGCAUCACUGACUCGAUGGAUUUGAGUUUGAGUAAACUCUGGGAGUUGGUGAUGGACAGGGAAGACCGGUGUGCUGCAGUCCAUGGGGUCGCAAAGAGUCGGACACAACUAAGCAACUGAACUGAACUGAACUGAGGACAAAUCCUGCUCAGUGCCAUUCAGUCCUUGUCACACUCUGGUCCUAGCUUGUUCUUGAGGGUUAUUGAUUUAACUUACAUUCUUCCUUUUCAGACAUGCAGGUUCAGCAGGCAAUGGUAUCCAGGUGCACAGAUCCAGUGAAGGCUUUCAUUUCACUUUCUGGCAAUGAAUCCUCAGCAUGGAGCCAGAUUCUCCCAGUGGGCAAGUUCUACUGUGGGAAAGGGAGAGGUAACUCUGAAGUUGUAACUCCUUCAAGCAGCCAGGAUUCCCUUGAGGAAGAGAGAUCCUCAAGACAGGAACUCUGCUUCAUCCAAGGGCCUCAUUUCAGCAAUGUGGAUAUCUAUAUGGAUAAACUCACGAUUCAGCUCACCACUGAUCAACUGUGAAUUGCUGUUCCAUGUACAAAUCAGAUCAGAACCAACGGGCAAACCUGCCAUUGUUGUUGCUGUAUUGCCAGAAAUAAUAGCCAUGUGCCUGAUUGUGUCCUAACAAGCUGGCCUGAGGAUGGGGUGAAAACACUCUGUUCUCCAGGCUCAGACCUCUCAUUUGUAGGAUGAUUUUAAGUUGUGUUGCAUCAAGUCCUUGGUGAGGGCUAAGCAACCUGGCUCCUGAGCCUUUCCAGCCCAUGCCAACUAGAAUCGCUCCAUUCUUAAUGGUUUAAUACUUAGGGUUUUAUCUCAGACUGUGUUUGAAAGAAAGGUCCUACAAGGAAAAAGCAAGUUUGAAAAUGACUGAUCUGGGAUAUACUCUAAUUUCCCUAGCAAUACCUCUGCUGGAAAAGUGUCCACAUUUUAUCAGUGCCUCUCCAAAACUCUUCAUGUGGCACUCCAGGCCUUGCAAGCACUGGCACCAAGCCUCUCCCCUCGGGGUCCCCAAUACCCACCCCCAUGUGCCUCCUUCCAUUUAUAACAGAUCAUUCCCUAAAUAGCCCACAUUCCUUCUCUCCUCUACUUAUCAAUUUUGAAAAACUAUUCUCAUCUUUCCAAGCCCGAUUCAAAAUGUUCCUCCAUGGAGAAGUCCCCAGCUUCCCCCUCCUUCUCCAAGAAGUGGAAAUAUUGUUUGUUUGAAUCUAUGCUGUGAACACACUCUUCAUUGAUUAUUUGUCAAUGCAACUCCCACAUUCUACUUCAGGAGAGCAGAAAAUGGUCUGUGUCCUUCCCUAAAGCCAGUGGAGGACACUGCACACAGCAAUGCAUAAUGAACCUUCUUCUUGUCUGGGUUAUUAGUUUUCUCCAUCUUCUGAGCCAAACUCCUUCUCACCUUCAGGACCUGGAUGGAAAAUGGCUUCCUCCAGGAACCCUUCCCUGACUCUGUGUCCUCACCAAACACAUUAUAAGCACUUUCAUUAUAUUAUUACAUUUCACUUAAAAUCAUUUAUUUCGAUGCACAACUUCCUCCCACAAAGUGAGUUUCCUGAGGGCAAAACUGUCCUAUUUAUCUUUAUGGCAGAGCUUAAUGU
ensembl:lncRNA